rnacentral:rRNA from 1 species
GCGGCCGCGAAUUUCGCCCUUUGUGCCAGCCGCCGCGGUAAUACGGAGGGUGCGAGCGUUAAUCGGAAUUACUGGGCGUAAAGCGCAUGCAGGUGGUUUGUUAAGUCAGAUGUGAAAGCCCGGGGCUCAACCUCGGAAUAGCAUUUGAAACUGGCAGACUAGAGUACUGUAGAGGGGGGUAGAAUUUCAGGUGUAGCGGUGAAAUGCGUAGAGAUUUGAAGGAAUACCGGUGGCGAAGGCGGCCCCCUGGACAGAUACUGACACUCAGAUGCGAAAGCGUGGGGAGCAAACAGGAUUAGAUACCCUGGUAGUCAACGCCGUAAACGAUGUCUACUUGGAGGUUGUGGCCUUGAGCCGUGGCUUUCGGAGCUAACGCGUUAAGUAGACCGCCUGGGGAGUACGGUCGCAAGAUUAAAACUCAAAUGAAUUGACGGGGGCCCGCACAAGCGGUGGAGCAUGUGGUUUAAUUCGAUGCAACGCGAAGAACCUUACCUACUCUUGACAUCCAGAGAACUUUCCAGAGAUGGAUUGGUGCCUUCGGGAACUCUGAGACAGGUGCUGCAUGGCUGUCGUCAGCUCGUGUUGUGAAAUGUUGGGUUAAGUCCCGCAACGAGCGCAACCCUUAUCCUUGUUUGCCAGCACUUCGGGUGGGAACUCCAGGGAGACUGCCGGUGAUAAACCGGAGGAGGUGGGGGACGACGUCAAGUCAUCAUGGCCCUUACGAGUAGGGCUACACACGUGCUACAAUGGCGCAUACAGAGGGCGCAACUUGCGAAAGUGAGCGAAUCCCAAAAAGUGCGUCGGUAGUUCCGGAUUGGGAGUCUGCAACUCCGACCUCCAUGA